ACCUGGCUGGCACAGUCUGAAGAGUGUGAGACUCUUGAUCUCCAGGUCAUGAGUUCGAGCCCCAUGUUAAGUG
rnacentral:tRNA from 1 species